rnacentral:rRNA from 1 species
GACGAACGCUGGCGGCGUGCCUAAUACAUGCAAGUAGGCCGCAGUUGCGAACGGGUGAGUAACGCGUAGGUAACUACCUAUUAGAGGGGGAUAACUAUUGGAAACGAUAGCUAAUACCGCAUACUCGUAGAUGGACCUGCGUUGUAUUAGCUAGUAGGUAGGGUAAUGGCCUACCUAGGCAACGAAACAUAGCCGACCAGGGAGGGUGAUCGGCCACACUGGGACUGGGACACGGCCCAGACUCCGACGGGAGGCAGCAGUAGGGAAUCGUCGGCCAUGGGGGGAACCCCGACCGCGCAACGCCGCGGGAGGGAAGAAGGGUUUCGGAUCGUAAAGCUCUGGUGUUAAGGAAGCGGUACUUAACCAGAAAGGGACGGCUAACUACGUGCCAGCAGCCGCGGUAAUUC